CCUACGGGUGGCAGCAGUGAGGAAUAUUGGUCAAUGGUCGGGAGACUGAACCAGCCAAGCCGCGUGAGGGAUGAAGGUACAGAGUAUCGUAAACCUCUUUUGUCAGGGAACAAAGGCGGGGACGUGUCCACGGAUGAGUGUACCUGAAGAAAACGCAUCGGCUAACUCCGUGCAAGCAGCCGCGGUAAUACGGAGGAUGCGAGGGUUAUCCGGUUUUAUUGGGUUAAAGGGGUGAGCAGGCGGUCUGUUAAGUCAGCGGUCAAAGCCCGGGGUUAAACUCCGGACCGCCGUUGAAACUGGCAGUCUCGAGUUGGAGAGAGGUAUGCGGAAUGCGCGGUGUAGCGGUGAAAUGCAUAGAUAUCGCGCAGAACUCCGAUGGCGAAGGCAGCAUGCCGGCUCCACACUGACGCUGAGGCACGAAAGCGUGGGUAUCGAACAGGAUUAGAUACCCGAGUAGUC
rnacentral:rRNA from 1 species